GACGAACGCUGGCGGCGUGCCUAAUACAUGCAAGUAGAACGCUGAAGGAGGAGCUUGCUUCUCCGGAUGAGUUGCGAACGGGUGAGUAACGCGUAGGUAACCUGCCUGGUAGCGGGGGAUAACUAUUGGAAACGAUAGCUAAUACCGCAUAAGAGUAGAUGUCGCAUGACAUUUGCUUAAAAGGUGCAACUGCACCACUACCAGAUGGACCUGCGUUGUAUUAGCUAGUUGGUGAGGUAACGGCUCACCAAGGCAACGAUACAUAGCCGACCUGAGAGGGGGAUCGGCCACACUGGGACUGAGACACGGCCCAGACUCCUACGGGAGGCAGCAGUAGGGAAUCUUCGGCAAUGGACGGAAGUCUGACCGAGCAACGCCGCGUGAGUGAAGAAGGAUUUCGGAUCGGAAAGCUCUGUUGUAAGAGAAGAACGAGUGUGAGAGUGGAAAGUUCACACUGUGACGGUAUCUUACCAGAAAGGGACGGCUAACUACGUG
rnacentral:rRNA from 1 species